AAAUGAAAAACAAAAAGCAGCCUUCGCCAGAGCAGAGGCAUUGGUAGGUGGACAAUAUUUGAACAGAAAAUUAUCAGUUUUUGCGAAGUUAGAUACAAAGAAGCCAAAAUGGAGUGCCUCUAGAAAUGUCAAAUAAGGCGGGGAGGAGGGGCGUCAAAAGUUGAUUCAUUUCCGUGCGGAGAUGGUGGCGAGCAAGCAUCAUCAAAAUCCCAUUUGAUCAAUUUCCCACCUCUAAUCUGCGCAUUUUCAGUCUUGUUGUUUCAAUCGUUGUCAAGUUUUGUGGUCCGAGCAAGGGACGCUAGACGCCAGAGUUGCUCGAUGUCGAGCUGCCAAAAAAUUAAUGGCCAACCAUGUAUGAUUGCUUCAAUCAAGCAUGUUAUUUUUAAAAUCUGGUCAAAUCUGAGCUUGUUGGUGGAACUGGGGUCGCAUUUUUUUAGCUGCUAAAGGCAUAGAGAGUAGCUGAGGUCCUAACCACACUCACUCAGCAAGGUAAAAAGUUGCUUUCAGAGUGGAAAAGCUUGUCUGAUUUGUGUAAGGAAUAGCUACACUCGCAAGUAAUUGUGUACUUGCUUUGAAAGUUAGUCUUCCACUUAAUAAAGAGAUUUUCUCUGAAUCAUGUAAUACCACAAUCUUUACUGGAGAAAAGAGAACUUAAAAAAAAAUUCUGCUUCCCCACAUCUUGAGGCUCUUGUCUGAUUGAGUGGACUGCUUAGUCAACAUUGUCAUUACAAAGAUUUUGACCAUGAUCUUUCUUUCUGUCUCUUUCUCUCUCCUUCACUCACUUGUGAGUGUCCUGAGAUCUGUGUAGGACGUUGAUAGAUAUGUAGGGAAGUACAGAUUUCAGUAUGUUUUCUUGUCCAAUUGUAUCAGAAACUUCACUGCUGGUUUGUCAUUUUUGCAAUUGUACUUGUAGUGUACAUCAUGUGGAUAUUUAUAUACGAUGUUGUCCUAUGGAGUGGUACUCAAUAA